rnacentral:rRNA from 1 species
AGUGAACGCUGGCGGUAGGCCUAACACAUGCAAGUCGAACGGCAGCACAGUAAGAGCUUGCUCUUACGGGUGGCGAGUGGCGGACGGGUGAGGAAUACAUCGGAAUCUACUUUUUCGUGGGGGAUAACGUAGGGAAACUUACGCUAAUACCGCAUACGACCUACGGGUGAAAGCAGGGGAUCUUCGGACCUUGCGCGAUUGAAUGAGCCGAUGUCGGAUUAGCUAGUUGGCGGGGUAAAGGCCCACCAAGGCGACGAUCCGUAGCUGGUCUGAGAGGAUGGGUGGCCACAGUGGAACAGAGACGGGGUCCAGACUCGUACGGGAGGCAGCAGUAGGGAAUCGUGAGCAAUGGGCGCAAGUUGGACGGAGCAGUGCAGCGUGAGAGAUGAAGGUCGUCGGAUCGCAAAACGCUGUUAUUAGGGAAGAACAAAGGUGUAAGUAACGAUGCACGUCUUGACGGUACCUAAUCAGGAAGCCACGGCUAACUACGGG